rnacentral:rRNA from 1 species
UGGCUCAGAUUGAACGCUGGCGGCAGGCCUAACACAUGCAAGUCGAGCGGAUGAAGGGAGCUUGCUCCUGGAUUCAGCGGCGGACGGGUGAGUAAUGCCUAGGAAUCUGCCUGGUAGUGGGGGAUAACGUCCGGAAACGGGCGCUAAUACCGCAUACGUCCUGAGGGAGAAAGUGGGGGAUCUUCGGACCUCACGCUAUCAGAUGAGCCUAGGUCGGAUUAGCUAGUUGGUGGGGUAAAGGCUUACCAAGGCGACGAUCCGUAACUGGUCUGAGAGGAUGAUCAGUCACACUGGAACUGAGACACGGUCCAGACUCCUACGGGAGGCAGCAGUGGGGAAUAUUGGACAAUGGGCGAAAGCCUGAUCCAGCCAUGCCGCGUGUGUGAAGAAGGUCUUCGGAUUGUAAAGCACUUUAAGUUGGGAGGAAGGGCAGUAAGUUAAUACCUUGCUGUUUUGACGUUACCAACAGAAUAAGCACCGGCUAACUUCGUGCCAGCAGCCGCGGUAAUACGAAGGGUGCAAGCGUUAAUCGGAAUUACUGGGCGUAAAGCGCGCGUAGGUGGUUCAGCAAGUUGGAUGUGAAAUCCCCGGGCUCAACCUGGGAACUGCAUCCAAAACUACUGAGCUAGAGUACGGUAGAGGGUGGUGGAAUUUCCUGUGUAGCGGUGAAAUGCGUAGAUAUAGGAAGGAACACCAGUGGCGAAGGCGACCACCUGGACUGAUACUGACACUGAGGUGCGAAAGCGUGGGGAGCAAACAGGAUUAGA